UAUAGACCGGUGUUGUUCUGAUGCUUUACUUCAUGCCACCAGUGAGGAAACCUUAUAACAGGCUUACAUGACUUGCAUGCAAAAUAAUGCAAACCCGACCGAAACCCACCCAGAGGUCAGCCGGAGGGACCUGUCCAAAUACUCUCCUAAAUUCAUUAGGAUCAGAAGACGAAUAUGCAUUUCCACCGCAUCCUGGUGAUUGGAGAUAAGAGUUUUGUAAACAGAUCUGUUCAUAUUGUGUCAAGCUGCAGAGACUUUGGAUCAACUCACAGAUUUGGGACAAAAUGUUACUAUAAACUGUGAUCUGAAUGAAGAAGAGAUUUAUUGGUUAUUACUGAAAACAUCAGAUCCUCCUGUGAUGAUAUUACGUGCUUUAUCAUCAACAGCUUCAUUCUUCAACAAAACUUUAAGAAAUAAAUAUUCACUUCAAUCUAAAAAUCAUCUGUUUAUAAAUAACAUCACUAUUAAUGAAUUAGGAGUUUAUUACUGUAUGAAGAUAGAAACAACACCACCUCCAAAAAUCAGCAGUGGCACCAGACUACAUGUAAAUGAGCCAACAGAAAGACCAAACCAAGUAACUUCUAUACAGCCAAAUCAUACAGUAGUGAAUGACAUUGAACAAAAUGAGGACAGAGUCACACCAUAUCAGACUCUUACCAUCAUACUUGGUCUGCUGAAUGGUGUUUGGUUCAUUGUGGUCAUAGGGCUAUUUAAGGUUUUUGUUGUUGGAAAUAAAAGAUUUGGACAAGGUUCACAACAACUUCAUAACACUGAUCUACAGCAACAUCAAGUUGUAGAGCACCAUCAAGACCCAAAUCAAUUACAGUAUGCAGAAGUGGACUUUUCAAAACUGCGUAAAAAAUAUCGACCCAGCAAAGCCGAUAGUACUUAUGCUGCUCUGAAGCUGCCAAAACUGCAAAUAUAAGCCUGAUCUUACAGUGUACAGUAUUAUCAAUACAUCACAGAUGUACAAUCAACCUCACAGAUUUAUAAGUUAAGAGGUUUUUAUGUGUUUUGAAUAAUUGAGAUAUUCAAUGUGGUGACUGAUGCUGCUUAUCCAGUGUGGUUUGUUAAAUACUGUAUAUAUAUUCAUCCGUCGAAAUUGCAGCUGGGUUGCCGGUAACUUACCGUAGAUUUAAAUUUAUGUUUUUUACUGGCA